rnacentral:rRNA from 1 species
UGAACGCUGGCGGCGUGCUUAACACAUGCAAGUCGAACGAGAACGGCUCUAGCUUGCUAGAGUGUCAGCUAAGUGGCGCACGGGUGAGUAAUGUAUAGGUAACCUGCCCCGAAGAGCGGGAUAACGUCUGGAAACGGACGCUAAUACUGCAUAUACCUUUUGAUCACAAGGUCAAAAGGGAAAUGAAUUUCGCUUCGGGAUGGGCCUUUAUCGCAUCAGCUAGUUGGUAAGGUAACGGCUUACCAAGGCUAUGACGCGUAGCUGAUCUGAGAGGAUGAUCAGCCACACUGGUACUGAGACACGGACCAGACUCCUACGGGAGGCAGCAGUGGGGAAUAUUGCACAAUGGGGGAAACCCUGAUGCAGCAACGCCGCGUGGAGGAUGACACAUUUCGGUGCGUAAACUCCUUUUAUAGGUCAAGAUAAUGACGGUAGCCUAUGAAUAAGCACCGGCUAACUCC